GCAGACCCCAUAUGUCCUCUGACCUCGAGAAUCAACUGAACUGCAUUUCUCCCCACUCCUGACCUGGCAUAAAGGAGACAGAAUUGGAGUAAGGAGAGAAGAUGAUGACAAACACAGGUGGCGGACCUGGAAGGACCCCCAUUUCCUGUCCAUUCCCUGGCUGGGGGCACCCACACUGGCUGAAGAUAAACUGUUCCAUGCUCUCCUUCUGCUGGUUGGCGGUCUUCAGAUGCUCAGCUGUGCUCUGAAGGAGACUCUCCUGUUUGGAUAGUUUGGUUCUCAGUUCCAGAAGCUCCCUUUUCAUGGACUCUCCCUGGGAAGAAAAACAGGCUCUCUGUCAACGGUCAGAAGGCCUAAAGCACCCUGUGUUCGGUGGCUCUUUACAGCUCCAGAUAGGAUUCUACAAUCUUCUCAAGUAGUUUUGGAGCAGAUUUCCCUCAUCAAAGCCUCUCAAUCCCUCCAGCAGGUGGUGGUGGCUCAGGAUGGGCCAUGAGGUGGGAGCACUGAGGACCUGGAAGCCCCGGUGCAGAUUAGCAGAGGCUACACUCCUGUUGCUGCGGAGAACCUGACUCCAGGCCACACUGAAGCUCCCAGCUGUGAACAAGAGCUCAGAUUUCGUGCUGACAUAGUUAUAUCACUUGGGCAUCACAAGUCACCAACCAGAAAGCAGUCUGAGAUCUGAGAGCACCACGGGGAGGCUGACUCUCCCCAGGCCUGACCCUGAGACGCAGAUAGCACAGGCUCCGGACGCGCAGGCUCAGCGGCCAUGGCUCACGGGCCCAG